ACAACAUCCAGUCCCGAAGCUUACACAUGAUUAAUGGUUCCAAGCUCAGCGCCGGAGCCGGGAGCAGUCACGAUCUGCCAGUGCACUAAGCAUCAGUGGGGGUGAGGAGAAGUCUGAGCAUUCAGAAGCACCAGACCACCACCUUUCGACUUACAGCGACGGGGGUGUCUUUGCAGUCUCAACAGCUUACAAACAUGCAAAAACCACAGAGCUCCCACAACAACGAUCAUCUUCAGUUGCUACCCAACAGACAACGGUAUCUUCCAUCCCAUCUCAUCCAUCUACUGCUGGAAAAAUCUUCCGUGCCAUGUAUGACUAUAUGGCUGCUGAUGCAGAUGAGGUGUCCUUCAAGGAUGGAGAUGCCAUCAUAAAUGUUCAAGCAAUUGAUGAAGGCUGGAUGUAUGGCACUGUGCAGAGGACUGGCAGGACCGGAAUGCUCCCAGCCAACUACGUUGAAGCUAUUUAGGCAUUUCAAAGCAUCACACUUGUCUGCAGGACUUACAGAUCCUGCAGUCAAUGUUUCGGUUUAGACUCUCCACUGUUACCUAAGUUCUCAAGCUGCCUAUGGUUUUUCUGUGUCAAUGUGAUUUAUGGUAGUACCAUCCUUUCUCCUUUGGGUUUUAAAAUAAGUUGCAGAACAGACACUUUAAAAGCUUCUGCAAUAUUAUUUCUGUGCCUAGAGUCUUUCUCCAUUAUAAACAUGUUUUAACAUUAUUUCUUUUCUAAAACAGGGAUUUUGAAUAUGCCAAACACAUUAAAGGAAAAAUAGCAGAGAUGUUCACCUUUUCCUUGCUGAUUGCUAAUGCUUAUUAUUUCUAAUUCAGUUCUGAAGUUAUAAACUUAUAAUCAAUACAAACCAGCAACUAAUAAAACCUCUAAUUCUGC
rnacentral:lncRNA from 1 species